UUUUCUUUUGUUCAUUUCUCCAAGUUAAAAUUUCGAAACAAAGCAUACAAAUCUUACCUUUACGAGCACGACGUUGGAAUAUGGGUUAAAAUCAUGAUGAUAGAUAUCUGUUUCAAACGAAUAUAUAUUACAAAUUUUCGCAUAUAUUAAAAAUAUUAUAUUUUCACAAAUUCAAAUAAAUAGAAAUUUAAUAUAUAAAUUAUUCUUUUGAAAUUUACAGUUUAUCAUUAUUAUUAUCUAACAAAAGAUCCAUAAAAUGUAAAGUGUUCGAGUAUGUAAACAACCUCUCAUUUCAGUCGAAUUGCUAAAACACUUCUCCUUUGUUGUUCGAGUAAAUAAGAAAUGCUCGAGUUACUAAAUACCCCUAAAGGACCCCUC
rnacentral:lncRNA from 1 species